UCAUAGGUGGUCUAGUGGUGCGAUGUCCACCUUUCAUUUUGAAUUGACGUGGUUGACCGGGCUUCGAUUACUCGCUUGGGAC